AAAAGUCACAUUCUUGGGUGAAACAAGUCUGAGCCUUCAAAGAUGGCUAAAUUGCAGAUCCUUUAAAAAAAAACGACUCUCCUUAGAAGGUUAGUGGAUACAGUUUGCUUCUCUCUACCACAGGGCAGCAGGAGGCUGGGGAGGGUGGGGGAGGAAUGGGGGGCUCACCAUGCCUCCAGUGGAGGCUUGGCAAGACCUCCCAACACACCAUCCUUGAGAUGACCGCAAACUUGCGCCUCUCCUCCUCGUGUACCUUUACCUUUUGUCUUUUUCCAGACAAAAGAGAGAGGAACUGGCUCAGAAGGUGGCGGAAGAGAGAACCCGCCGAGAGGAGGAGGCCCGCCAGCUGGAAGCUGAGCAAGCUCGGGAGAGGGAAGAGCAGCUGCGGCGGCAGGAGGAGGAGCGGGCCCGGCGCGAGCAGGAGGAGGUGGAGCGUGUCCAGAAACAGAAAGAAGAAGAAGCUCGUGUUCGAGAAGCAGCAGAGAGGGUCCGACAGGAACGGGAGAAGCAUUUCCAGAGAGAAGAGCAGGAGCGCCUGGAGAGAAAGAAGCGACUUGAGGAGAUUAUGAAAAGAACCAGAAGAACAGAAGCUUCAGAUAAGAAAAUUGUUGAUCAGAGAAAUGGAGAUAUAGCCAAGGGAGCUCUCACUGGAGGAACAGGUAUUUCAGUGAACUCAAAUCAAUUCAAAUGCAUAAUUUUUGAAUUGACUCUCUAGAGGUCAAGAUAAAAACACUGAUUUAAAAUUUUAAAAAACUCAUUGACUAAUAGAACCUUAGGUACAUCUAGUCCAUGAAUCCCCUUUAUCUAAAAAUCUCUAGCAUUUCUAGCAAAUUUUUUCACGUUUGUUUAUACUCUAAUGGUGUGGUUGAUAUGUUCAAGUCAGAGUUCCCAUUGUGGCA
rnacentral:lncRNA from 1 species